rnacentral:rRNA from 1 species
AUGGCGGCUGCUAUACUGCAAGUCGAACGAACUCUGGUAUUGAUUGGUGCUUGCAUCAUGAUUUACAUUUGAGUGAGUGGCGAACUGGUGAGUAACACGUGGGAAACCUGCCCAGAAGCGGGGGAUAACACCUGGAAACAGAUGCUAAUACCGCAUAACAACUUGGACCGCAUGGUCCGAGUUUGAAAGAUGGCUUCGGCUAUCACUUUUGGAUGGUCCCGCGGCGUAUUAGCUAGAUGGUGGGGUAACGGCUCACCAUGGCAAUGAUACGUAGCCGACCUGAGAGGGUAAUCGGCCACAUUGGGACUGAGACACGGCCCAAACUCCUACGGGAGGCAGCAGUAGGGAAUCUUCCACAAUGGACGAAAGUCUGAUGGAGCAACGCCGCGUGAGUGAAGAAGGGUUUCGGCUCGUAAAACUCUGUUGUUAAAGAAGAACAUAUCUGAGAGUAACUGUUCAGGUAUUGACGGUAUUUAACCAGAAAGCCACGGCUAACUACGUGCCAGCAGCCGCGGUAAUACGUAGGUGGCAAGCGUUGUCCGGAUUUAUUGGGCGUAAAGCGAGCGCAGGCGGUUUUUUAAGUCUGAUGUGAAAGCCUUCGGCUCAACCGAAGAAGUGCAUCGGAAACUGGGAAACUUGAGUGCAGAAGAGGACAGUGGAACUCCAUGUGUAGCGGUGAAAUGCGUAGAUAUAUGGAAGAACACCAGUGGCGAAGGCGGCUGUCUGGUCUGUAACUGACGCUGAGGCUCGAAAGUAUGGGUAGCAAACAGGAUUAGAUACCCUGGUAGUCCAUACCGUAAACGAUGAAUGCUAAGUGUUGGAGGGUUUCCGCCCUUCAGUGCUGCAGCUAACGCAUUAAGCAUUCCGCCUGGGGAGUACGGCCGCAAGGCUGAAACUCAAAGGAAUUGACGGGGGCCCGCACAAGCGGUGGAGCAUGUGGUUUAAUUCGAAGCUACGCGAAGAACCUUACCAGGUCUUGACAUACUAUGCAAAUCUAAGAGAUUAGACGUUUCCCUUCGGGGACAUGGGAUACAGGGUGGGUGCAUGGAUUGUCGUCAGCUCGUUGUCGUGAGAUGUUGGGGAUUAAGUUCCGGCACGAAGCGGCAA